CAGCAGCCGCGGUAAUACGUAGGGUGCGAGCGUUAAUCGGAUUUACUGGGCGUAAAGCGUGCGCAGGCGGCCCGUUAAGACAGGUGUGAAAUCCCUGGGCUCAACCUAGGAAUUGCGCUUGUGACUGGCGGGCUCGAGUACGGUAGAGGGGGGUGGAAUUCCUGGUGUAGCAGUGAAAUGCGUAGAGAUCAGGAGGAACACCGAUGGCGAAGGCAGCCCCCUGGGCCUGUACUGACGCUCAUGCACGAAAGCGUGGGGAGCAAACAGGAUUAGAUACCCUGGUAGUCCACGCCCUAAACGAUGGGUACUAGCCGUUUGGUGCGCGAUAGCGCUGAGUGGCGAAGCUAACGCGUGAAGUACCCCGCCUGGGGAGUACGGCCGCAAGGUUGAAACUUAAAGGAAUUUGGCGGG
rnacentral:rRNA from 1 species